rnacentral:rRNA from 1 species
UACGUAGGGCGCAAGCGUUAUCCGGAAUUACUGGGCGUAAAGCGCGCGCAGGCGGUUCUCCAAGUCAGUGGUGAAAGCCCGGAGCUCAACUCCGGAACUGCCAUUGAAACUGUUGAACUUGAGGACGAGAGAGGCGAGUGGAAUUGCGGGUGGAGCGGUGAAAUGCGUAGAUAUCCGCAGGAACAUCCGAGGCGAAAGCGGCUCGCUGGAUCACAACUGACGCUGAGGGACGAAAGCUAGGGGAGCAAACAGG